CAGCCGCCGCGGUAAUACGAAGGGUGCAAGCGUUAAUCGGAAUUACUGGGCGUAAAGCGUGCGUAGGCGGUUUGUUAAGUCUGCUGUGAAAUCCCCGGGCUCAACCUGGGAAUGGCAAUGGAUACUGGCAAGCUAGAGUGUGUCAGAGGAUGGUGGAAUUCCCGGUGUAGCGGUGAAAUGCGUAGAGAUCGGGAGGAACAUCAGUGGCGAAGGCGGCCAUCUGGGACAACACUGACGCUGAGGCACGAAAGCGUGGGGAGCAAACAGGAUUAGAUACCCCAGUAGUCCCUGUCUCUUAUAC
rnacentral:rRNA from 1 species